rnacentral:tRNA from 1 species
AAAUUUAGGUGAAGUAAACCGAGGACCUUCAAAGCCCUAAACAAAGACUAGCUUCUAAUUUCUG